rnacentral:misc_RNA from 1 species
AGAUCCUGCAUGGGUUACAAGAUGGUUCAAUAUUUAAGUUUUUCAACACUGGCAACGAUUCUCAAAAAUUUCACCAUACUCCCCGUUGACGGUGAAUCUUACAAGAUACCACUAGGAAAUUUAGCUCUACCGGAGAACACGUUCAGUUUCCGUUUCCAAAAGAGGGAAUAUUUCACCUAUCAUCGCGAAUGGAAGUACCAAAAAACCUAAUGCACUUGAAAAUAUGUACAUCAAAAUCGAUAUCACCGGAAUGAUACCGUUGUCGUUUAUUUUAUUACCGGCGUAAUCUGACCACACGUAUAUGGAUAAUAUACUCAUGAAAAUUGUCAUACCAACGCCGGAAAUAAUGGAAGGAAUUCUACGACCGAAUUUACGGGAUAUGUAAGAAACUAACAUCGUACCUAUUAAUCUUGUUAGACCGAUUAAUAUCGCCGCGAUAUGACCGUCGAUGGAAACACCGGCCUCUAAGGUAAAAUCUACGGCGUAAUAUAUCACUACAAAUGUUCCCGAGAAUUGUUGGAAAAAGAAAUAACCAACCAUUAUCAAAAGUGGCUUUAUAUUCAAAGGACUAAAUAUACCACCUCGCGAUCUCAAUCUCUUACCUAAUCCUUCUGUGUCAUUUAUAAUCUCUUUAGACAAUGGAGAUAAUUCUAAUAGGAGAUCGGACGGCGUUUCUAAAUUGGAAUUAUUGAUGCCGUUUAAUCUUCUAAGAGAUUUUUCUGCCUCCAUUAAACGACCGGCAGAACGAAGCCACACCGGAGAUUCCGGAAGUUUCAAUAUUACCAGGAUCAACGAAGUUAUUGGAAAUAAACCGCACAAAAGUGCUACCAAACGCCAAUCUUUCUGCAAG